AAUAUAUAUGAAAUUAAACUUCCCUGACAAAUAUCUAUAUUUUGCCACAGCAAUUUCAGUCUUCAUCUUCAUCAUUUGAAUUCAGUGACUACAAACAGUGCUAGAGAAUGCAAUAUGGAAAGCAGUGCAUUAUGCACAUCUUGUGCUUCGUGUGCUGGCGCAGGGGCCCACUUGUGGAUUAUCAUGUUUAAACAAUUUCAACUAUUACUAACCCUCAUCAAAGGGGAAAAAAACCUUCGAUUUCCUUUGCCUUUAAGUAAACAAAAAGGCAAUGAUGAGCGUAUUCGAGGGGUGAAUCCCAUCAAUGAAGCAGAAGAAAAGGGUCCAAUCAGGCUACCAACUAAAAAUGAUCAGAAACCUCACGUGAUAUCCUUGUUGUCAUAGUCUCAGACAUACAAAUAAUGAAAUCAACAUCAACACUAACAAUUUUCCUUUCCACUACAUUGUAAUUUUUCCCUGGACAUUGUAAUCAAGUUAGUGAAUGACCAUGUCCCCACGCCAGCUAUCAAUGUGACCUGCAAUAUCAACAAAAUUCCAAAUCUCUUGAGAGCGAUCCAGUACAAAUGCAUACAUCACAUUAGGGUGAGUAUCCUACAACACACUAAUCUUUGGUCCUGCACAGCAUCAAAUUAACCUUUCUAUGCUCUACACAUCUUAAGAAAAGUUAAUAGUCCAAAGAAAGACAAUGUUUAUGAAUAUAAUGGAUUGUACUUGCAUGUGUUAGUAAAGGCAAAAUACAUCCUGAGGCCCCUAUAUUUUUAGCUUUUUCGCUUUUGAGACCCUGAUUAUUAACCAUUAUUUAAAAAACAAAAGAGAAAAUAAUGCUGUGCAACCUUCCCCCUUUCCAAAGAAAGACAAUGUCCAUGAAUAUGAAGGAUUGUACUUGCAUGUAUUAGUAAAGGUAAAACACAUCCUGAGGCCCCUAUUCUUUUAGCUUUUUGCUUUUGAGCCCCUGAUUGUUAACCAUUAUUUGAAAAACAAAAGAGUAAACAAUGCCGUGCAACCUUCCCCCUUCCCUUGUUCCUCUCACAAUUUGUUCCCAUUUCCUGACCCUUGCAAUCUGUUUCCAUCUCACUCCAAUUUCUCAAUCAAAACAAUCUUGGAGUAAUCUCUUCCUUGCAGCCACUUGAGCAGCAAGCUGCUUUUCUAUGAGAGUUAAAACCAAUGUUUGGAGGAUUCCAUAAACAUCAAUGAAAUGGAGAGAGUUAUCAAGAAGGUUCUCAAACCAUGUGGGCUGGUGGCAAAGGGAUUCCUGGGGUUGACAGAGUUGUAGGAUUUUAUCAAACAAAUCAUGAACCCAUUAUGAUUAGUGUUAACUGAGAAAUCAUUACGAUUUUCCAUGGAGAGAGAGAGAGA
rnacentral:misc_RNA from 1 species